GCAGCUCAUCUUAAAGCUUAGUAUUCAGUAUUUGAUAGUAGAUGCACGAAUUUAACAUGGAAUGCUGUACCAACUUUAAAUCUGAAGCCAGGCAAUGCCAGAAAAUGAAUUCCUCACAUUGUUGUUUCGGAGCCGAGCAAAUCAAUCAUCUUUCAGAAAAUAUCCGGACAAGGGGAACACUGGUACAUCACAGGAACAAACAUUUGUUGCAAAUAGUCCCGAAAGCAAUAAAACAUGGUUGUAACUGAUUUAUUGACUACGUAUUGAAUAAAAUAUUACAUAACAA